rnacentral:rRNA from 1 species
GAUGAACGCUGGCGGCGUGCCUAAUACAUGCAAGUCGAGCGAACGGACGAGAAGCUUGCUUCUCUGAUGUUAGCGGCGGACGGGUGAGUAACACGUGGAUAACCUACCUAUAAGACUGGGAUAACUUCGGGAAACCGGAGCUAAUACCGGAUAAUAUUUUGAACCGCAUGGUUCAAAAGUGAAAGACGGUCUUGCUGUCACUUAUAGAUGGAUCCGCGCUGCAUUAGCUAGUUGGUAAGGUAACGGCUUACCAAGGCAACGAUGCAUAGCCGACCUGAGAGGGUGAUCGGCCACACUGGAACUGAGACACGGUCCAGACUCCUACGGGAGGCAGCAGUAGGGAAUCUUCCGCAAUGGGCGAAAGCCUGACGGAGCAACGCCGCGUGAGUGAUGAAGGUCUUCGGAUCGUAAAACUCUGUCAUUAGGGAAGAACAUAUGUGUAAGUAACUGUGCACAUCUUGACGGUACCUAAUCAGAAAGCCACGGCUAACUACGUGCCAGCAGCCGCGGUAAUACGUAGGUGGCAAGCGUUAUCCGGAAUUAUUGGGCGUAAAGCGCGCGUAGGCGGUUUUUUAAGUCUGAUGUGAAAGCCCACGGCUCAACCGUGGAGGGUCAUUGGAAACUGGAAAACUUGAGUGCAGAAGAGGAAAGUGGAGUUCCAUGUGUAGCGGUGAAAUGCGCAGAGAUAUGGAGGAACACCAGUGGCGAAGGCGACUUUCUGGUCUGUAACUGACGCUGAUGUGCGAAAGCGUGGGGAUCAAACAGGAUUAGAUACCCUGGUAGUCCACGCCGUAAACGAUGAGUGCUAAGUGUUAGGGGGUUUCCGCCCCUUAGUGCUGCAGCUAACGCAUUAAGCACUCCGCCUGGGGAGUACGACCGCAAGGUUGAAACUCAAAGGAAUUGACGGGGACCCGCACAAGCGGUGGAGCAUGUGGUUUAAUUCGAAGCAACGCGAAGAACCUUACCAAAUCUUGACAUCCUUUGACAACUCUAGAGAUAGAGCCUUCCCCUUCGGGGGACAAAGUGACAGGUGGUGCAUGGUUGUCGUCAGCUCGUGUCGUGAGAUGUUGGGUUAAGUCCCGCAACGAGCGCAACCCUUAAGCUUAGUUGCCAUCAUUAAGUUGGGCACUCUAAGUUGACUGCCGGUGACAAACCGGAGGAAGGUGGGGAUGACGUCAAAUCAUCAUGCCCCUUAUGAUUUGGGCUACACACGUGCUACAAUGGACAAUACAAAGGGCAGCGAAACCGCGAGGUCAAGCAAAUCCCAUAAAGUUGUUCUCAGUUCGGAUUGUAGUCUGCAACUCGACUACAUGAAGCUGGAAUCGCUAGUAAUCGUAGAUCAGCAUGCUACGGUGAAUACGUUCCCGGGUCU